CAUAACUUGCGUACGUUCACGGCACGGCACACACUUUUUCAUACAUUCUUGGCCUUUUCACUUUUAUUUCCGUGAGUUUGUGUCACCAUGUCUUCCUUGAGAUCAGUCACAUUUUAAAGGAGUCAGUCAUUUCAAGAGUUUGUGGUGAGCUGAUGUUUUAGUAAGAAAGAUAGAUUUCUUUGCCUGAGAUAGCGGUUGGGUGAUAAUGGCAUCGUUGAAGUGGUGGGGGCGGGGGCUUGUACCACUGGCGUUAAUUCUGUUUGCAGUAGGAUGUAAAGCUCAGUGUAGUGGCUCACCAUGUGCCAGUGAUGCAACUUGCAUG